rnacentral:rRNA from 1 species
CCUCGGGAAGGCAGCAGUGGGGAAUUUUCCGCAAUGGGCGAAAGCCUGACGGAGCAAUCUCGCGUGAGGGAUGACGGCCUAUGGGUUGUAAACCUCUUUUUUCAGGGAGGAAUAAAUGACGUGUACCUGAAGAAUAAGCAUCGGCUAACUCCGUGCCAGCAGCCGCGGUAAGACGGAGGAUGCAAGUGUUAUCCGGAAUCACUGGGCGUAAAGCGUCUGUAGGUGGUUUAAUAAGUCAACUGUUAAAUCUUGAAGCUCAACUUCAAAAUCGCAGUCGAAACUAUUAGACUAGAGUAUAGUAGGGGUAAAGGGAAUUUCCAGUGGAGCGGUGAAAUGCGUAGAGAUUGGAAAGAACACCGAUGGCGAAGGCACUUUACUGGGCUAUUACUAACACUGAGAGACGAAAGCUAGGGUAGCAAAUGGGAUUAGAUACCCCAGUAGUCCUAGCCGUAAACAAUGGAUACUAGAUGUUGAACAGAUCGACCUGUGCAGUAUUAAAGCUAACGCGUUAAGUAUCCCGCCUGGGAAGUAUGCUCGCAAGAGUGAAACUCAAAGGAAUUGACGG